rnacentral:rRNA from 1 species
AUUGAACGCUGGCGGCAUGCCUUACACAUGCAAGUCGAACGGUAACGGGCCUUCGGGUGCCGACGAGUGGCGAACGGGUGAGUAAUGCAUCGGAACGUACCUUUCAGUGGGGGAUAACGUAGCGAAAGUUACGCUAAUACCGCAUAUUCUGUGAGCAGGAAAGCAGAGGAUCGCAAGACCUUGCGCUGAUUGAGCGGCCGAUGUCAGAUUAGCUAGUUGGUGAGGUAAAGGCUCACCAAGGCGACGAUCUGUAGCGGGUCUGAGAGGAUGAUCCGCCACACUGGAACUGAGACACGGUCCAGACUCCUACGGGAGGCAGCAGUGGGGAAUUUUGGACAAUGGGGGCAACCCUGAUCCAGCCAUGCCGCGUGAGUGAAGAAGGCCUUCGGGUUGUAAAGCUCUUUCGGCCGGGAAGAAAUCGCACGGGCUAAUACCCUGUGUGGAUGACGGUACCGGAAUAAGAAGCACCGGCUAACUACGUGCCAGCCGCCGCGGUAAAAC